UGGGUAUAAUACCCGAUAGCCUCGAUUGCUGGAAUGCAUCGAGAAAAAAGCUCCGGCGCCUAAGGAUGGGUCUGCGGCCUAUCAUGAAGUAGUGGGUGUAGCGUACCCACUAGCCUACGACGGGUACGGGUUGUGAGAGCAAGAGCCCGGAAAUGGAUUCUGAGACACGAAUCCAGGCCCUACGGGGUGCAGCAGGCGCGAAAACUUUACAAUGCUGGCAACAGCGAUAAGGGAACCUCGAGUGCCAGGUUACAAAUCUGGCUGUCGAGAUGCCUAAAAAGCAUUUCAUAGCAAGGGCCGGGCAAGACCGGGGCCAGCCGCCGCGGUAACACCGGCGGCUCGAGUGGUAACCGUUAUUAUUGGGUCUAAAGGGUCUGUAGCCGGCCGGAUAAGUCUCUUGAGAAAUCUGGCAGCUUAACUGUCAGGCUUUCAGGAGAUACUGUCUGGCUCGAGGCCGGGAGAGGUGAGAGGUACUUCAGGGGUAGGGGUGAAAUCUUGUAAUCCUUGAAGGACCACCAGUGGCGAACGCGUCUCACCAGAACGGACCUGACGGCAAGGGACGAAAGCUAGGGGCACGAACCGGAUUAGAUACCCGGGUAGUCCUAGCCGUAAACGAUACUCGCUAGGUGUCGGCCACGGUGCGACCGUUGUCGGUGCCGUAGGGAAGCCGUGAAGCGAGCCACCUGGGCAAGUACGGCCGCGAGGCUGAAACUUAAAGGAAUUGGCGGGGG
rnacentral:rRNA from 1 species